CUGUAAAACAACUGGUUAUGCCCCCAUCAGACAGAACGGGCAGGUGCCCAGGCACCCUUGCCAGCCCCACCCCACUGUAAAAGGUCUGGUUACUCCUCCAUAGGACAGAAGGGGCAGGUGCACAGGCACCCUUGCCACCCCCACCCCACUGAAAAAGGUCUGGUUCUCCCCCGUCGGACAAAAAGGGCAGCUACCCAGACACCCUUGCCACCCCCACCCGACUGUAAAAGAUCUGGUAAUGCCCACGUCAGACAGAACGGGCAGGUGCCCAGGCACCCUUGCCACCCCCACCCCACUGUAAAAGUUUGGUUACUCCCCCAUAGGACAGAAGGGGCAGGUGCACAGGCACCCUUGCCACCCCCACCCCACUGAAAAAGGUCUGGUUCUCCCCCGUCGGACAAAAAGGGCAGCUACCCAGACACCCUUGCCACCCGCACCCCACUGUAAAAGGUCUGGUUAUGCCCCCGUCAGACAGAACGGGCAGGUGCCCAGGCAGCCUUGCCACCCCCACCCCACUGUAAAAGGUCUGGUUAUGCCCCCGUCAGACAGAACGGGCAGGUGCCCAGGCACCCUUGCCACCCCCACCCCACUGUAAAAGGUCUGGUUACUCCCCCAUAGGGCAGAAGGGGCAGGUGCCCAGACAACCUUGCCACCCCCAACCCACUAUAAAAGGUCUGGUUAUGCCACCGUCAGAUAAAGGACAGAUGCACAGACCCUCUUGCCACCCCCACCCCACUGUAAAAGACCUGGUUAUGCCUCCGUCAGACAACGGGCAGGUGCCCAGGCACCCUUGCAACCCCCCACCCCACUGCAAAAGGUCUGGUUAUGCCACCGUCAGAUAAAGGACAGAUGCACAGACCCUCUUGCCACCUCCACCCCACUGUAAAAGGUCUCGUUAUACCCCCGUCAGACAGAACGGGCAGGUGCCCAGGCAGCCUUACCGCUCCCACCCUACUGUAAUAGAUCUGGUUAUGCCCACGUCAGACAGAAGAGGCAGGUGCCCAGGCACCCUUACCAUCCCCA